AGUGAACGCUGGCGGCGUGGCUAAGACAUGCAAGUCGAGCGAGAAUUCCCUUUCGGGGGAGGAAAGCGGCAAACGGGUGCGUAACACGUGAGCAAUCUACCUUUAAGUGGGGGAUAGCUCGUUGAAAAAUGGGUUAAUACCGCAUGUGGUCCUUUUCUGCAUGGAAAAGGUACUAAAGCUUGUGAAGGCGCUUAAAGAGGAGCUCGCGGCCUAUCAGCUUUGUUGGUGAGGUAAUAGCUCACCAAGGCUAAGACGGGUAGCUGGUCUGAGAGGAUGAUCAGCCACACUGGAACUGAGAUACGGUCCAGACACCUACGGGUGGCAGC
rnacentral:rRNA from 1 species